CGUAGGGGCGAAGCGUUGUCCGGAUUUAUUGGGCGUAAAGGGCGCGUAGGCGGCCUCUUAAGUCAGUUGUGAAAGGUCCCGGCUCAACCGGGGAGUUGCAGCUGAAACUGGGAGGCUUGAGUGCAGGAGAGGAGAGCGGAAUUCUCGGUGUAGCGGUGGAAUGCGUAGAGAUCGGGAGGAACACCAGUGGCGAAGGCGGCUCUCUGGCCUGUUACUGACGCUGAGGCGCGAAAAGCGUGGGGAGCGAACAGGAUU
rnacentral:rRNA from 1 species